AUUUAGCCUUGAUAGUAGCGGCAUCCUUUAUAUUUGGGUUUCAAGUAUAAAGAUAUAGCGAAUAGCACGACCAAUU
rnacentral:sRNA from 1 species